UGUGUUUCUCACAAAACUGACUGUUCACAGUUGGAGCUUUGGUGUUUUCUUGGCCUAUUUAACAAAUGUGUGUGUGUGUGUUUGUGUGUAUAAAGUAGGGAUUCCAGGCACAUUCAUGUUGUUAACUGAUAGUAAACACAUUAAAUGUGCCAGAUACAUACGGAGACUUGGCAGGGCAAAGACAGAGACAAGAUUAUGUUUUCUCCAUGUGAGGCAGAAUAGGGACAAUACUGCCUGUCUAUUCUACAAACAGUUUUGGCAGUGGAUGAGCCACCUUUAAGAAUGUAUACCAUGGGAUGAGAGUAAAUUUAUAACUAGGAAACUGCAGAGUGGUGUGGUGGCCCCAAAAAUACAGCUACAAAGUUUGGUUUGUCUUUGCUGUUGUUCAUUCAAUCAUUCUUUUUUUCUUUUUUCAUCCUUUCUUUCUUCUUACUUUUCUUCCUUAUUUUCUUUUUUUGGAUAUCAUUUUUGUUCACAAAGAUAGCCAUGUAAAGUCACUGAAAAUGAAGUGGGUUUUUUUUUUUCAAAUAAAAAUUCAAUUGCAAAUACAAAGCAUAUAUUUUAACUUAAAGAAUUUUUUGGGAACUUUCUGUCUUCCACCUUGCCACCAAAAAGCAAGCUUUUUUUGCACAGCAUGUUUUUUCAGGAUACAGUUUGAUAACAUUUCAUUAAAAUACAGAAAACUGUUUCCAAUUAACCUGAAAAUCAACAUCUCAUUGUUAUCAAGGUGAGCUAAGGACAUAGAACUUAUACCAGCCAACAGGCCAGUUUUCCUGCUAAAGCAGGGAACUGACUUGAGAGGUACAAAACAUAGGGUUUUCACUGCAAGUUUUCAGAUUGAAGACUAACCAUUGCUGGCUGCUCCUCCUCCACACCCACUAUGAAGUAGAGCACGUAAAUUCACAUGGGCUGAGUCCCAGGAAAAUCAUAACAGAAGAGUCAUUUAGCAAGAAGGUAGUCAGUGUUCAUGACCCCAGUGCCUCAAUUACCACAUCCAGAGAGAGAAAGAGCAAGGAAGAAUGUUAUAGGAUCAUUCAAUCAUUCACCACAUUCUGUGUGGUGAUAGCCCAGGAUGAAGAAUAUUGACAUUGGAGAGUCCCUGAGCCAACAUGAAAUUUGACUAGAAAUAGCUGAAAUUAUUAUUUUGAUAAACAGCAUUUCUAAAUGUUAUAAUUGGAAAGGAAUGAGCUAUUUUAGAUUCUGUUUGGAUGUGUACCCCAAUUAUGGUCAUCAUGUUUAAUAUGAUGGUAAGGGGUGGAGAGGCACCCAAAUCUUUGAAAAGUGUUUUUUAAAAAUAGGAAACAUAUGAUUUUCUUGACUCAUCUCUAUUUUUAAACCCCAAAGUACACAUUACCCAUUUGCUGCAAAGAUGAAUCACUGUGGACAUUUCAUUUUCAAUGAAAUUUCAUAUAUCUGAAGACCAGGAUCGGUUCAUCAGCAGAGAUAGCAGGGUGGUCACAGCAAAAUAAUUAUCCCCAAGUAUUCAUUGUAAUGUGCUCUG
rnacentral:lncRNA from 10 species